rnacentral:tRNA from 1 species
GAGGCCGUUCCUUGGAUAAGUUGGUACUAUGUCAACUGAAACUGUUAUUGGAAGUGCUAAGGUCAGAGCCUGGUUCCUAAUAGUCCUAACGAGCUGGGCUUGGGCACCUGUCCUCCGUAGCCCACACAGGCAAGAAUUCUUAAAAGUCCGGGAAGGAAAAAGCCACCUUAGGAAAAGGAACAAAAAGGGCCAGUGACCCCCGUUCCCUCACCAAGUUCCCCAACAGAGUCCUAACAUAACGUUUGAGUUUAAAUAGAAGCAACUGUAAGUAGUUUUGGUCAAGCUGUGAUACCUUUCCAUCACGGUUUCAACUUUUGCCUCUCCCGCAAGGUGGUAUGACAAGAUGGGUGAACUGUGAAAACUGUGUGUUUUGUUUCUGGCUGGAACCAGGCAGGCUUCAACCUUUCCUUCACCCAGCACGUAAUUCCCGGAGAAGUUCCAGUUUCUUGGAGUCUUAUCAAAGAGAGGAGCACAAGUGUUUCUUUAGAAUAUCUUCAUUCCUACCAGGAAGAUUUCAAAACUUAAUACUAGGAAAGGCUAAGCUGACUUGGGGAUCUCCAGUUGCUAGGUCACAGUAGCAACUACAAGAGAAGUGGGUGAACGCAGGUAUACCUACUGGAAAGCUAUUGUAACUUUGUAGACAUCAGUAAUGAAUGAUUUGGACCAGAAUAAUAGCAAAGGACAUGAAAAUGUGUGGAAGGAUUUCAAAUAUGUAGAGUUUACUGGAUAACUGGAUGCAGAAGGAUCUCAAUGUGCAGCCCUGGCUGGCCUGAAAUUUACUCUGCAGACCCAGCUGGCUUUGACCUCUCAGAGAUCUGCCUCCCUCUUCCUCAGCAGCACAGGGAAACAGAAAAUAAUGAAAAACUGGGAAGCAACUGCUGCUGAAUACUCUCAAAAGGCUUAAAAUCGAGGGCAGCUUUCGUCCGCCCGGCUAGCUCAGUCGGUAGAGCAUGGGACUCUUAAUCCCAGGGUCGUGGGUUCGAGCCCCACGUUGGGCG